rnacentral:rRNA from 1 species
AUGAAAAUAAGUGGAUGGAAAGAAAAAUUAUUAUCCACUGGAGGAAAGGAAAUUUCGCUCAAAUAUAUUGUACAAGCUAUCCCAGCUUAUGCCAUGUUUGUCUUUAAAAUUCCUAAAAAAAAUUGUACAGGAAUCAUAGACGCGAUGGCAUGGUGGGGUGACGAGGACAAUAAAAAGAGAAUGCAUUGGAUGGGUUGGUUGUAGAUGUGUGUACCAAAAAACUAAAGAGACGUGGAUUUUAGAUAUAUGCAUUGUUUCAAUCUAGCUUUGUUAGCCAAACAUGUAUGACACCUCAUUGAUAACCCCGAGUCCUUAUGUCCGUCUAUCUUAAGAUCUAAAUAUUUUCGGGAUGGGGACUUAGGCCCCGUUCGGAAGUCUGCUGGCUUCCCAAGCUUAGCUAGCUUCCAGAGAAGCCAGUGCUAG